CGCGGCGUAGCUCAGCUGGCUAGAGCGUUCGGUUCAUACCCGAAAGGUCGGGGGUUCGAUCCCCUCUGCCGCGA
rnacentral:tRNA from 1 species